CCCUUAGAUGUUCUGGGCCGCGCGCGCGCUACACUGACGAAUGCAACGAGCUUAUAACCUUGGCCGAAAGGUCUGGGUAAUCUCCAAAUUUCGUCGUGAUGGGGAUAGAUUAUUGCAAUUAUUAAUCUUCAACGAGGAAUGCCUAGUAAGCGCAAGUCAUCAGCUUGCGUUGAUUACGUCCCUGCCCUUUGUACACACCGCCCGUCGCUCCUACCGAUUGAAUGGUCCGGUGAAGCGUUCGGACCGUGGCCUUUGGACGGUUCGCCGUCUGUUGGCUGCGGGAAGUUCGUUAAACCUUAUCAUUUAGAGGAAGGAGAANUCGUANCA
rnacentral:rRNA from 1 species